AUGGCAUAGACAUCAAUGGUGGGAUCAAACUCUCCCGGCGACAGGGGCUUAGUGCUGUCCAGGGUGUUGCUGGGACUGUCAGGGGGAGUCCCGAUGACUCCCCCGUCGCUCUCCCCGCCCUCCUCUUCCGCCUCGUUGUCCUCGCUCUCCACCUCCUCCUGCUCGGCUCGCUCAACGUCGUGAAUCCCGACCAGCAGGCUGUAGUCCAUGAGCUUUAGCUGUGCCAAGAACUAGGGAAGGUGGAACAAGCGAGGCAUCAGGGGAUUAAGGAUGAAAGGAUCAGAAGGCUUUUGAAACACAAAGGGCAUCAUUGAAUGUUUUUUAAAGAUCAAGAAAUAAGAUUUACAGCGGACACACAUUUCUUGAUGCCACAGCUAAGGAAGAACUACACCAGCAAGGAUUUGUUAACAUUACCAGUAGUUAUCUCUACAGGAUUUCACGGGCCUUUUCUGUGAUUGUUGCAGUCUAAAAUGUCUGAACUUGUGGAUUUUAAUAAAAAUUGGAAAACACAA